rnacentral:rRNA from 1 species
UACGUAGGGACCAAGCGUUGUUCGGAUUUACUGGGCGUAAAGGGCGCGUAGGCGGCAUGACAAGUCACUUGUGAAAUCUCCGGGCUUAACUCGGAACGGCCAAGUGAUACUGUCAAGCUAGAGUGCAGAAAGGGCAAUCGGAAUUCUUGGUGUAGCGGUGAAAUGCGUAGAUAUCAAGAGGAACACCUGAGGCGAAGGCGGGUUGCUAGGCUGACACUGACGCCGACAGCGCGAAAGCCAGGGGAGCAAACGGG